rnacentral:rRNA from 1 species
CAUGUGGGGCAAGCGUUGUUCGGAAUUACUGGGCAUAAAGGGUGCGUAGGCGGCUUGUUAAGUCAGGGGUGAAAGUUUUCGGCCCAACCGGAAAAUUGCCUUUGAUACUGGCGAGCUCGAGUGCGUGAGGGGUAACCGGAACGAGCAGUGUAGCGGUGAAAUGCGUAGAUAUUGCUCGGAAGGCCAACGGCGAAGGCAGGUUACUGGUACGCAACUGACGCUGAUGCACGAAAGCGUGGGGAGCAAACAGGAUUAGAUACCCUGGUAGUCCACGCCGUAAACGAUGAGCACUAGGUAGGUGCCGAGCUAUUCGGUGCCUGCCGCAGGUAAUUUGGUAAGUGCUCCGCCUGGGGAGUAUGGUCGCAAGGCUG